AACGCACCUUGCGCCCUCUGGUAUUCCGGAGGGCAUGCCUGUUUGAGUGUCAUGAACACCUCACCCCCUCGGGUUUCCGACCGGGUGGACUUGGGCGGCUGCCAGGACAUGGCUCGCCUCAAAUGCAUUAGUGGUCGUGGACGUGAUAAGUUUCGUCUGACCGGCCGCUGACAAUCUCCCUCCGGGGAUGUCUGUCAAAGGACACUUUCAUGAUCUGACCUCAAAUCAGGUAGGACUACCCGCUGAACUUAA
rnacentral:misc_RNA from 1 species